GCCUGGGUAGCUCAGUUGGUAGAGCACAUGACUGAAAAUCAUGGUGUCGGCGGUUCGACUCCGCCCCCAGGCACCA
rnacentral:tRNA from 1 species